UACGGAGGGGGCUAGCGUUAUUCGGAAUUACUGGGCGUAAAGCGCACGUAGGCGGACUGGAAAGUUGGGGGUGAAAGCCCAGGGCUCAACCCUGGAACUGCCUUCAAAACUCCCAGUCUUGAGGUCGAGAGAGGUGAGUGGAAUUCCGAGUGUAGAGGUGAAAUUCGUAGAUAUUCGGAGGAACACCAGUGGCGAAGGCGGCUCACUGGCUCGAUACUGACGCUGAGGUGCG
rnacentral:rRNA from 1 species